CUUUGAGCUACUGCAGCGAAUUUCAUCUCUGCAUCGGACAAGGAGGCCUGGGCGUGAAAGGAGCUGCUCUCUGUCCACCAGGGGGAGACCGGCCCACGGUAUCCUCCUUAGGUGGGCUGCCAACUCUGUUACAAGGGAAGGUCCAAAGAAUCAAGCAUGAUGCUGCAGCUUACAAAGCUUCAAGGCAGAGUGAAUUUACUUUCUCUCCUUCAGCCUUCUGCCUUCUCCACUUUCUACUCCUCUGGGUAGCUUAUCACCUUGUCUGGAUGACAUAGUCACGCUCCUCUUCCCAAUCCGUUUCCAGAUGAUGGCUUUCUCCUUGGUCUCAGGAAAUGGUGCAACAUUGACUUGAAGUAGCAAACACUCUCAACUCGGAAGUCACGACAUCUAGUUCCUCAUGAGCUUUGAGAAGACAGAAUUGGUUAAGUGUUUAAUUCCUUCUUGUACCUUCCACUUGGGACCUGCUGCUCCCAUCAGGGAGCAUAGUCUUGAUGACUUCCCCAUUUGUCUCUUGUGUUAUUCCCAUGUGAGGAUGCCAUGGGGAAAGCAGGUCAGAGAGGCUGAGGGUGAUUCUCUAAGGCACAGUACACUUGUGUUUUGUGGUCCUGUGAGCUCUACCAUGAGAAAAGGCUGAUUGCUGUUCUCAAACAAUGCCUACAUGACCCUUGCCCUGAUCCUCUAACAGAACUCCUCCUCUCUGAAGUUUCCUCAAUUAAAUGGCCAAGUGAGACCCACUCUCUGCCCUCUGGAACCUGAUAUUAUGCAUCCCCUACUCGUGUCUUUCUGUGGGUUUCAGGAUCCCUCCAUCUGAAUCUAGUGACAGGACUUUAGACAUUUCACACCAGCUUAAUAUCCACACCCUCCUUAUCCCAGGAAACCCUACAAGUCCCUUUGCCCCUGGGAGGAGAAGCUUCAUCUGGACAGCCAUGUAGGCCCUGUCGUUUCCUUGGCGCAUCCAGAGAAGCUCAGACAGCUACAGCUGCCUUUACCAUGCAGAGCUGUAAAUUAAACACCAGUCUCCCUGCAUCCUGGAUCAGCAAACCAAAUUUCAGCGCCGGAUGAAGGGAUGGCGUAGACUCCACCUACUGCCCUGCAGGCUUGCAGGCUGCAGGUGCCCAUGUUUGCUUUAUGGAAGAUCUUCCCUCAGAGGUGGUAAUGUCCCAAUAAACACAAAGUCAGACAGUCACACAGAUGCUCAUGACAGUGUUAAUAUUAUACCACCAGUUGCCAUGCCAGUGAAGAUGGGGAGAUCUCACAAAGUCCCAGACAUAGGUGAGGAGAAACAGACAAUUAGUGCCCGCCACGAGAGGGAGAAUCAGUGCUCUCCAAGAAGAGGCCCCUGAUAGGUCAUCCAAUAUCAGUUGUCAGUGCUAAGCAUGCAUAUAAUAUAGGGAACACUAAAUGAACUCAGUAGUUUGUACAUACACAUGCAAAUAUAUAUACUACAUGGACGCAAAAGCUUGUGUUUGCAUGUGUAUACCAGUAAUAAUUAAAGAAGUCAAUAAUUUGAGAGAGUGAGGGAGAAUCAUGUGAGGAGUUAGAGGGGGCCAAGAGAGGGGUGGAAUGGUGUGUGUAUAUAUAAUAUUAACAUGAAUAUUUGAAAAUAAACAUUGUAGAAAAAAAGUAUAGUUAACAUACCAGAUAUCAGAGUUUAGCAUGGCCAAUGGCAUAUUGGCCAAUUGUUGGACAAAAUCAGGUCACUCAACAUCUAUUUAAAAUUAAAGUAUGGAAUAUCUCAUGUGAUGUGUAA